rnacentral:lncRNA from 1 species
CCACAGGUGUGCUCAGGCCAAGCCAUCACUUGGCACUGGCCAUUCCCCAGAGGCAGAACCUGUUGUGCAUGUUUGUAGGGUUUAGCUUCACUCACUGCAGUAUACAUCUGACAGUCAUAGGAGGAAAGAAACACUCAGAUGCAUCACCUUCAGCACUUCCACUGAAAAUCCUUAGGGAAAGAAAAAGCCCAUAGGUGUAAACCCAAGCUUCGAGCACAGCUGCACCUGGAAACACAGCACAGCUGUCAGCUGGGGAGGAACAGAGACUUUCAGUUUGCAAAGUAUUGACAGCUGGGUGAAAGAAGAGUGAUUGCACUAAGAGCAGAGGUAUGAACACUCUGGGGAGCCAAAAUUCUGCAAGAGGCAAUUCCACAAGCUUGGGAAGACCUGUCUCAGCACAUCCUAUUGCCAUAAUCAGGAUUCAUCCUUGGGGACACUGCUGGCUUCCUUCUGCAGCACGUGGUCUGGAGCCAUACUCCUGUCUGAAGUCAUCUCUAUCCAGAGCUUUUGCCAGCAAGAGGGCUUGUUUUGUUGUUUAGGGUUUUUUUGUUGUUGUUUGUUUGGUGAGAGGUUUUUUGAGUGUUUCCUUUUUUUUUUUUCUUUUUUACAAGGGCAGGCUCAUCUCAAUUUAGAUUUCUUUACCACAGGGAAGGAAUAUUAUAAGUCUCCUUUUCAGGAUUCUGCUCCUGACUGCCUUUCUCUCAGGGUAACCUUACAUCAGUAUUUUAAGACUGAUAUGAACAUAACCAUCAUAUGCCUACUUUUUAAAAUCUGUGGGUUCUUUGAAAAUUUAGGUAGCCAUGUCAACACCUUCAGUUAAAUACUGUUGGCAUUGAAUGAAUACUAACAGCAAAAUAGGAGUGAGAUCUGCUAACAUGCUUACUGUCUCUCUUACAUGCUGGAUUCAGACCUCACCUAUACUCUGAUUCUUCUAAAUGAAGGUGGAUUUAUUCUUUUAUUCUUCAGAGCAAAAUCUGUUCUAGGUUGGUGCAGAUAAAAGAACUCUUAGAAGCCAAAUAUUUGGUAUUCUGCCCAAAACUGAGCUGCCUACUCACUUUGGUGAGCAAGACUUACGGCUUUUUCAAACUGAAAAGUGAGAAAUGUCAUUAUCUCUUACAGCCUCCCACACCAACCAUUUCUACUUGAAUUUUUGUGUAUGACCUGCACAUAGGCUUUAUUCAUUGCAGAGCUGGUGACACUAAGGGAUUGCAGAAUUAAACUUCUGAGGUUGCUGCCCCCAAGCCCAGCUAUCUUUUAACUUUAUGUGGGAGACAGCAGCAUUUCCUUGUGUAAGCAGCCUCUACAGAUGGAGUUCCCUGUGCUGCAUAGAUCACUAAGAUCUAUUUCUACAUGAUGAAGGAGAAAACAGCUGUUUGGCAGUAGCUUACUACCCAAGCCUAGAUAUCAGUUCUGAAAGUACUAAAACAACAAACAGCAUGGUUUGAUGAGGUACUCCAAACACCCCUUUGCUGUUGAUUUCAGAUAUCUUAGGCAACCAUUUAGCUUUUUCAUACUGAACCAUUGAUGUUGUACUACUGUAUUUUCUGUGCUUGUCUACUUAGAGCUGAGUGUUAAUCAGCCUGGUGCAUAAAGCAGAGCAUGUCACCUAUGUGAGUUCUUAUUCUAAAGGUCAGAAACGUUUACUCCAAAGAUAUUUUGUUAAUCACAUGUACACUUGCAAGUUUGAAAAGAGUCAAGAAAGAGUCUUUAGUAGCUUGUUUUAGCUAUCAAAGCUGAUUUCUUACUAAAAAGACUGUGAAGCUAUAUAAUGUUAGUUUUAUGGCUGAACAGCUUCCAAAACCCAAGACUGUUAAGGUAUCCAGUUACUGCUUUCCAUGGAAAACCUUUUUCCUCCUGGCUCUAUGUGUGAGAUGAUUAGGAUGCUUUGUAUCACAGUUCCAACAGAACUAUGUAUUAGAAGUAUAUUUAGUGAGUGUGGAAAUGAGGGUUGUAUUCUUUGUAGGUCCUUUCCAGCCCAAACCCUUCUGCGAUGUGUUCCGUGAGGGGUGCUCACCUGACUGACACCAGCUCAGGGGUUACACCUGGCAAAGCAAUUCCUGGCACAGAGUGGCACAUUGGGAAGUGAGGGUGAGAGUGCUUGCUGCAGGUAGCAAGGCUUUACAGUGUGUUAUGGACAGUCAGUGCAGCAUGAAUCCCAAAAAUUCACCUGUGGGAACUCUCAUUGGGAAAGAUCCUUAGCCCUUGCUGCCGGUUCUUCAGACAGAUUGUAACUCUGACUAAUCUCUGCAGUUCACUGAGUCCAAGUGGAGUUGAAUGCACACAGAUCCUACUGACCCAUUUGGAGUAAAUCUUCAGAUAGUUCAGAGAGGGAAUGAAGUCAGUAUGGUGUAUGCAAGCUGCCUUGUGCAAACAUUCCACUUACAUUGGCAGGUUAGAAGGCGGAAUGCAGUCAGUGCCCCCCCUUUAUUUUUUUUUUUCUGAGAAGACAUCAUUUUUAUAGGUCAUUAAUAGAUAUUCCAGCCUGAUUUUAUGAGAUUAUAUCACAGUUCAGGAAAAAAAUAAUAAAAAGACCAUGUUUGUUUUUUUCCCCA